GGAGGGGUUCCCGAGUGGCCAAAGGGAACAGACUGUAAAUCUGUCAGCGUAAGCUUUCGGAGGUUCAAAUCCUCCCCCCUCCACCA
rnacentral:tRNA from 4 species